rnacentral:lncRNA from 1 species
AUGAACACUGGCCAAUUCAAGGCACUGGCCAUUUCGAGCACUGGACACAUCAUGCCCUGGACAUUAUGAACCCUGGCCUAAAUAAUACGCGCCCAAAUGUAAGACUACGGGCUUCGGCUCACCCGUAGCUUGGGUUUAAUUUUAGCUCGGUAUGAAUUAUCUGACAGAUAUUAAUAAAGAUAAUGCAGUGUUGCUUUUCCAUGAAAGGUUGACAAAUGAUAAGGAGUACCUACCUCACACCAAGAACCAAGAAUCAUCAAGGAGACGUGACUGUGAAGAACUCACAAGCAGGCAUGCUGUGCACAAGACUCAGCGCGGAGGACCGGUGGACAGUGGAUGGUGGACGGUGGACGGUGGACGGUGGACGGUGGACGGUGGUCGGUGGACGGCGGACAGUCUGCUGGUGGUCUACAUACAGAGCAGAGUAGGAGGAGCGGCGGCACGAAGAGCUCAGUGCCCGCCUCGGUCGGCUGCUCGGACAGACAUUGUUCUGUCCGAGCGAUGCUCCACGCGGUGAUGGCUCGGCCGAUACCAGCCGCCGAGUGACGAACGACCACCGCCAGGCGACCUGGUCCUGGUCUGGAGCAGGCCACCGACCUGGUCCUGGUCUGGAGCAGGCCACCGACCUGGUCCUGGUCCGAAUGGACCACCGACUUGGCCCUGGUCCGAACGAAGCACCGACCUGGUCCUGGUCUGGAGCGGACCACUGACCUGGUCCUGGUCCGAACGAACCGGUGUGGGCUGUGACCACUGACCACUUCCUUCUCGAGAAGCGUACACGGAAAAAUUGAUCAGAAGACUAUCUCAGAGGUGCAUACUAUUGCUUUUUAUAGUGAAAAUGGGUGCUGUAGUUACAAGGUGAGAUUGUUGUUUCAUCGCGCUGUAUUUCGGGCUCGACUGUGCCCUCUUUUCCACUGGUACGUUUCUCACGCCUCAACCCAUAUCUGACCAGUCUCACAGACAACAAGGCUGCACUUCUCCUCGGGUCCCUCGCCGCAAGCUCGGUGUGGGAAAUUGAAUCAGUCAUAUAGUUUUUUUUCAACUAUUCUGACUUACUGGAGAGCAGUGGCGGAUCCUGGGGGGGGUCCACGGGGUCAUGACCCCCCCCAAAAGGUCUGAGAGGGUCAUUUGACCCCCCCCAAAAGCCGAAGACCUAAAUGCGCUAUAGACGCCGUCUUGCAUGCUCAAAAUCACAUGUCAAACACUUCUGAGCUAAUACCUUUGUUUUUCUGGAUCGUGUUGCGUGAAAAGGCGUAUUGAAGGCCAGAAUCUUACUCAUUUUUGUCUCAACCGUGCGAGCACCAGGGGAUGAUCCAGGAAAACUCCAAGGGGAUGGUCAUGAAUUUAAUUCGUGGUGCCCCUACCUAUACGCAAAAUUAAAAACUCAACGGAUUUCGGCCACUUAAUUUUGGUGAUGUCCUAUUUCCAUUUUUUUAUUUUGUUUGUUUUAUUUUUAGUGCCCCUGGGCCCUGGCAGGUCAAAAUCACGUCGGAGGCGAAAGAAAUUCACGGGAAUCCCAAAAAUCACGUCAGGACAUUCAGGGCACUCUGACCAGCCUGACAGCUAGGGCCCUUCUUACUUCCUGGGGCCUCCAGUGAAUAACCGCUAGUGUCUGUGUCGGCCCCUCUGACUCCUCAGUAGGUAGGAGGCCCUCUGUAGAGGAGACCCUCUGUGGAAAGGAGACCGCCUGAAUGCAGAAGGCCCUCUGAAGAGAGGAGACCCGCUGUAGAGAGAAGGCCCUCUGAAGAAAGGAGGCUCUCUGUAGAGAAGAGGCCCUCUGAAGAGAGGAAGCCCUUUGCAGAGAUGAGGUCCUCUGGCUCUUUGAAGAGAGGAGGUCCUCUGUAAAGGAGGCCCUCUGAAAGGGAGAGACCCUCAGUAGAGAGGAAGCCCUCUGUAGAGAGGAAGCCUUCUGUAGUUAAGAGGCCCUGUGAAAAGAGGAGGCCCGCAGUAGAGAUCGGUGGUCCUCUGUAGAGAGGAGACCCCCUCUGUGUUUUGACAAAUGUUUUUGCAAAUUUUUCGCGGCGCUUCGCGCCGCCGAUUCAUGUACAUACGUACAGGUCAAUAUGAAAUCGUGACUGUAAUUACAUAAACCAACCGUGUCAAAUUGAAUCAGAAUUCAUAUGUGUACUGUGAAGAAACUCCGGCUUGUACUGCCAUGCUAAAAGGGUGGUAAAAUUUGUGUUUUGGAGCGGAGCUGUGUUUUGACACAUUCUUUUGCAAAUGUUCUCGGCGCUUCGCGCCGCCGAUUUAUACACCAAUCAAUAAGAGAGAUCGUGACUGUAAUAACACCAACCGUGUCAAAUUGAA